GAUGAACGCUGGCGGCGUGCUUAACACAUGCAAGUCGAACGGAAGGGCCUCCAGCUUGCUGGAGGUACUCGAGUGGCGAACGGGUGAGUAACACGUGGGUGAUCUGCCCUGCACCUCGGGAUAAGCCUGGGAAACUGGGUCUAAUACCGGAUAGGACCCUCCUUUAGUGUGGGGGGUGGAAAGUUUUUUCGGUGCAGGAUGAGCCCGCGGCCUAUCAGCUUGUUGGUGGGGUAAUGGCCUACCAAGGCGUCGACGGGUAGCCGGCCUGAGAGGGUGGACGGCCACAUUGGGACUGAGAUACGGCCCAG
rnacentral:rRNA from 1 species